rnacentral:rRNA from 1 species
UACGUAGGGUGCGAGCGUUGCCCGGAUUUAUUGGGCGUAAAAGGGCGCGUAGGCGGCCACGCACGUCCGUUGUGAAAUCGCCCGGCUCAACUGGGCGGGGUCAGCGGAUACGGUGUGGCUCGAGCAAGCUAGGGGCAAUGGAAUUCCCGGUGUAGUGGUGGGAAUGCGUAGAUAUCGGGAGGAACACCAGUGGCGAAGGCGG